rnacentral:tRNA from 1 species
GUUCUAAUAGUAUAAUUAUUACUUUGGUCUUGUAAACCAAUAAUGAAGAUUUAAAUCUUCUUAGAACA